rnacentral:rRNA from 1 species
AGCAGCCAUCAUUUAAAGAAAGCGUAAUAGCUCACUGGUCGAGUCGGCCUGCGCGGAAGAUGUAACGGGGCUAAACCAUGCACCGAAGCUGCGGCAGCGAACGUAUCACCCAAGACAACUUUACGGAGUUGACGAUUGAUGGAGCGAAGCGACGUCAAAGCGUUCAUUAAAGUCGAGUUGGCUUAGGGAUACGUUCGUUGGGUAGGGGAGCGUUCUGUAAGCCUGUGAAGGUGGCCUGUGAGGGUUGCUGGAGGUAUCAGAAGUGCGAAUGCUGACAUAAGUAACGAUAAAGCGGGUGAAAAGCCCGCUCGCCGGAAGACCAAGGGUUCCUGUCCAACGUUAAUCGGGGCAGGGUGAGUCGACCCCUAAGGCGAGGCCGAAAGGCGUAGUCGAUGGGAAACGGGUUAAUAUUCCCGUACUUGGUGUUACUGCGAAGGGGGGACGGAGAAGGCUAUGUUGGCCGGGCGACGGUUGUCCCGGUUUAAGCGUGUAGGUGUGUGUUCCAGGUAAAUCCGGUUCACUUUAACACUGAGGCGUGAUGACGAGGCACUACGGUGCUGAAGCAACAAAUGCCCUGCUUCCAGGAAAAGCCUCUAAGCAUCAGGUAACAUCAAAUCGUACCCCAAACCGACACAGGUGGUCAGGUAGAGAAUACCAAGGCGCUUGAGAGAACUCGGGUGAAGGAACUAGGCAAAAUGGUGCCGUAACUUCGGGAGAAGGCACGCUGACAC